rnacentral:tRNA from 1 species
AGGGAUGUAGCUUAAUUGGUAGAGUGCUUGCCUGGCUUGCAGGAGGUUGUGGGUUUGACACUCCCUCAACCCCCG